GGAAAAAGGAGGAGGAGGAGGAGAAGCAGUGAUUUAAUUAGCUACAAAGCCAGAAAUAAGAGUGCAUACCAAAGGCUCCAGUAGAGGAAUUGGACCUCUCUUCUUAUUGACCACAAGAAUUUUGUGGGAUUUCAAAAGGCCAGAAGACUUAUUAGACAUCCACUGGUCCAACCCAGGAAAGAGUGAUUUGCUUGACCUAUUUCAGCAGUAGAUCACCCUGGUAGCCCAAACGCUACCUCCUACGUCAGAGGAACAACUCGUAUAUCAGUGAGGCCGCAUCUGGAAGGGAACUGGUUGGGUCCAAUUCAGUAGCAGCUAUUCCCCAGUGACAGGUUCAAAAGCUCAACUUUGCAAGAGGAGGAUGUGAGCCCAUAUAAAAAAAAAAUUUGGUGGAUUGUACCAGCAGUGUGAUGUGUUGGCCAAGGAGCAGUUGGGUCCUAGGCCCUGAGAAAAGAGGUCUAGUGUCCAGGACAAAGGAGAUCACAGUCCCACCGCUCAGUGCCCUGGCCAGAUCACAUCUAGAGUGCCCAUCUAAAGAUAUGGGCAUCAUAUUGGAGGAAACACGUUGAUAAACUGGUCCACAUUCUGUGGUGA